rnacentral:snRNA from 1 species
GGAUGUCUUAUGAAAUGAUUUUG